AGGUCUUCUUUUAAUGCAGCUGGAUAUCAGAACCCAUGCCACAUUUAGGAAUCACAUGGCUACCUUGACUACUAGGUUUAGUGGUCUCACAGUUUAAGCCUACAGUAGCUAAUAAUCUCUUCUUUAAUCCUGUCUUGGAUUUAUUUUGGAAGCGAUAGCAUAUUUCCAUAUAGAUAGAAAGCUUCUGGAAUUAAAUUAAGCAGUUAAAUAAACAGCUGAAUUUGUUAAACUUCUUUUGUUUCUCAACACAAACCAUACUUAACAACUAAUCUGAAUGACAAUUAUUUUCAGCUUAAUUAGAAAAUCUUAAUUAACAAUGAAGAUUUAACCUUAAUAUUUUUGGUUUCUGAAUCAUAUAUAAAAAAAUUAACAUUAUAUGAAUAAAUAAGACAAUCUUUUUAAACCUCAAGGCAGGAUUACUGAUGCAGGCAGCCUUCGUUAUUAAACACAUUCUAAAUUAAACGCCUCUAUGAAUUUUAUACUGAAAUAUAUUGUGAUAGUUUUGCAUGCCAAAUGUGACAUUUUGUAUUUUAGAUUCAUCUUCUGUAGUAACUUUGGAAAUGUCAUACAAACAAAGAUUUUGUCAUUUACCAAUGGAAUUACUAUGCAUGGACGGUUAGCCAUCUCUUUUCUGGCUCUUCUGGUUGUUUCAAGUCAGCAAGCCAUAAAAAAUCUUUAUCUCUCUGAAACACAGCAAUUUGGAAGAUAAUCGAAUAGUGACUGGGGGGCAGAAACGCCAGUCUGAGGAAUUAUACCACAAUCUCUCUUGCAUUUACAACCUUCCUCAAAGCGAGUGUCAGUCGAGUAGGAAAAGGAGAUAGAAGAUUCAUCAUAUUUCAAGCCUGUCUCAUUUGCAUGGUGGCAUAGCUGUCUCAUCUCCUGCUGAAAGACUUUGCUUGGCCAGCACUAACAAACUGUUUUGAAGAACUCUUGCCAUGCCCAAAUGAUUCAUCAUUAAUAGCUUUAGACAUUCUCUUUAAGCAUAUGGUUACUUUUGCUGGAAAGCAUAUUUUGGAACCUGCUAAAUUCUAUCCUCUUAAACUAUGAAAAUAGAAAAAAAAACAAAACAAAAAUAUAAUAAUGGAAUGCAAUUGAUUCAGUGAUUUAGCAGUUCAUUUCAGGGAAAAGAGAACUCAUAUAGAAUCUCACCUUCCCACAAGGUCCUGCUGCUCCAUUUAAUCCAGUAUUCACAUCUCUAAGGUUACCAAUGCUGGCUGCCACUUCUUCCUCAAUUCCACCCUGCUCUUUUUUCAGUAGCUGACUUCCCACUCUGCAGAGGUUAGAAUGGGAAGAAGAAUGGAAAAGAAAUUAGCUACAAUGAAUAGACAGAAAGCACUUGCUUUUGGAAAUACAACAGUGCGAUGUUUUCCUUGCACAUACCAUAAGAUGCACCCAGGAGAAACAAGAGUGUGCUAAAGCAGAGAAAUAGCUAGGCUUCAAAAAGCAGCAUUAAAAAUAAUAAUAAUUUAAAAAACACCAAGACCAGUAUUUGUAAGUUGGUGUCACAGGUCAACAUAAGGAACCCCAGCUUUCACUGCCUGUCUGUAAUUGGCUCUGUCUGGCAUUGGGACUUAGGAUCCAGGUCAAGAAUAUUUCAGUAGGAAGCCAUUGCUUCUGUCACCACUUUGAGAACUGACUGACAGCUUCAAUAAACUUGGAAAGGUUUUUUGAAAACACUGAUUCUUUGGGGCUUAGGUUGCUCUAAACCAUUAAAAAAAUGAACUCUGUUUUAAAAAAAUGAAUUCUGUUUUUUGUUAGCUUUUUUUUUCCAAAAAGGUCUUGUAAUUUUAUAUCUUAGAUAAUUUAUAAAUCUUCAGAAUAUAUACAGGACAAGAGCUAUAUAUACAAAUUAUAUACAUGCACAUACACAAACUUUCAGGUGUAUGUAAACCACAGAACCUUCCUUGUUAUUCACAUGUUCAGUUCUUUCAUAUUUAAAGUGAUUUGGGGGGUAAUUUAUAUAAACUCAAAUUUGUUGGGUUUUUGUUUUUGAAGAAAGGUCACUAUGGCACCACAGAAUAUCAGUAAAUCGUGCAAGAAUAGCCCAACACAGGAUAAACCAGUGCUGCCCUUGGUGCACAGGAUACACAAAAGGCACAGUACCCUAUGGAGAAAACCUCAUUCCUAGAACACAGCAGGAGCAAAUGCAAAACUAAGUCAUUUACAAUGAGCACUAUAAAGCUGCCUGCUUUGGCAAUCCCAACCCAACUUUCAACAGAUACAGAACCAUGAGUAAUUCCUCUGUUCCUAAGUGUCAUCAGCAUCUAAAUGUUAUUGACCCUAAGUAAAAACAUCUGUAAAUGCUCUGCUGGCUUCAAAACACAUUAGCUCUUGUUUUCACAAAGUGCUUUAGGAGGCCAGGGAGAGUCAGUCAGUCACACCAGUGCUGGUGAUAGUCCAGCCACACUUGCAGGUGGAGCCAGGGCAGGCACAAAGACAUGGUGGCUCUCAGAAGGUGGAGGCUGAGCAGGCUGUUCAUGGCUCUGGGCUGGUCCUGAGCCAUGCUGGAGGUCAAGGGAAUUCUCUGCAGCUUCCUAAGAGGAGCCACAUAGAGCCAAGGAAAAAACACUGCAUCAUGUGCACUGGCAAUGCAGGAUUUACUGGGAUGUCUACAACACAGGCGUCAGAGAAUAGGCUGUCUUAGGCUCCCAAGCAACGCACCCUGUUAAAUCUUCAGCCACCAAAAAAAAAAAAAAA
ensembl:lncRNA